rnacentral:misc_RNA from 1 species
GGUAGGAUCAUUAACAUUAAACGCAUUGUAUAACCCAAUACAAUGCGAUGUCCUCCUAUAUAAUCGAGUCACUAGUGAUUCAUCGCGAUAGCAGCACGCGAUGAACAGUUCCUAUGAGAACUAUACAUUGUCCUAGUCUUGUCCUUAGUGUCAUUAGUAAUUAAUAGAAAACAACUCUUAACAACGGAUAUCUUGGUUCAUGCAUCGAUGACGAGCGCAGUGAAAUGUGAUACUUAGUGUGAAUUGCGGAAUAAAGUGAAUCAUUAAGACCUUGAACGCAUAUUGCACCCUUGAAUUUACUCGAGGGUACGUCGGUUUGAGUGCGACCUAAUAAUAUAGACUAUACAUCGGUUAGUCUGACUUGAGAUUGUGGCUAAAGGAUGCUAGAGCGCUACUUUCUUUAAAAAAUCUUAAGAGGCGAGCGUAUUAGCAAUUACUAGUAAAAGGGGUUCAAUGCACUAGUAACUAGAUGGUCUAUUAGAUCGAUGAGAGUUAACGCUCGAGUCGACUCGAAUGAUACAUUAGUGACUACGUGUACACUCUCUUUGAAGCUUUUACGUGCGUCUUAUUAUCGAGAGAGAGAGGGGAUGUGUAUCGUGGUGAGCCAUAAUCGAUAUAGCAUCAUGGACUACUAGAGUCCCUUAUCUUUUCUCGCGUAUAAAGGGGGAUGUGUAUCGUGGUGAGCCAUAAUCGAUAUAGCAUCAUGGACUACUAGAGUCCCUCUUUAUACCCUAUUAUAAAGGGUAGUGUCAUUUAGGACUUCCUAAUGUCAUCCCUAUUCACUAAUGUCGCCUAUAAGAAUUAUUAAACAGUCGCCUCAAAUCAGACGGGAUUACUCGCUGAAUUUAAGCAUAUAAUUAAGCGAAGGAAAAGAAACCAACAGGGAUUCCCUUAGUAACGGCGAGUGAAGCGGGAAGAGCUCACGCUUAAAAUCUCGAUAGGGUAACGCCUAUAGAGAAUUGUAGUUUCGUAACCGGUAUUCACCGGGGAGGCUGUCGAGGCUUAAGUUCCCUGGAAAGGGACACCGUAGAAGGUGAGAGUCCUGUGAAGCCUUUAGACUAGUCUCUUCGAUCGUGUUACCGAUUUACAGAGUCGGAUUAUUUGAGAGUAUAGUCCUAAACGGGUGGUAAAUCCCAUCUAAAGCUAAAUAUUAGCAUGAAACCGAUAGCGAACAAGUACCGUGAGGGAAAGAUGCAAAGUACUUUGGAGAGAGAGUUAAAUAGGCCUUGAAAUUGUUAAGAGGGAAGCGAUAGCGACCUUAAUAUAUUUAACGAGUAAUUCACCGAGAGAGGGCACUCUCGUGUCGUGUAUCGAGAGCUACGGUCAACGUGGCCUCAAUGUAUGUGUGAGGGGGUUCUCUUAAGGGCAUUUUACUAGUUAAAGGGAUCAGUGUCUAUUAGAGGCGAUAGUAAAACGGUGUUGGGGUUGGAAUGAUAGGGUGCGCCUUAUCAGGAGGCUUGAUACAACGAUACGUUCGUUCUGAUUGAGGGGUUUAUGUAAACUACUACGAGUGCCAAGCGGGGGUAUCUAGUGAUAGAAGGGGGUCUUCGAUUGGUUAUACAGCACGCUGUAUAGCUGAACGGGGGUUCCCUCUAAUCGAUUAGUCCCACUCACUCGUUACGACACGUGAUGUGCAUUAAUUUAAGGUCUUUAUCGACCCGUCUUGAAACACGGACCAAGGAGUGUAACACGAGUGCAAGUGUUAUAGCGAUAUAAACUAUUACGCGAAAUGAAAGUGAAGCCUUUAAUGUGGGAAAGGGGUUUCAACGCUAACACGUUGUCCCUAGCACCAUAGACCGAUCUCGAGUAAAUUUAUUUAGACGGAUUUGAGUAAGAGCACGCUUGUUACGACCCGAAGAUAGUGAACUAUGCUUGUGUAGGGUGAAGCCAGGCGAAAGUCUGGUGGAGGCUCGUAGAGGUGCUGACGUGCAAAUCGCUCUCAGAAUAUGAGUAUAGCGGCGAAAGACUAAUCGAACUAUCUAGUAGCUGGUUCCUUC